CGGCGGACGGGUGAGUAACGCGUGGGUAACCGUGCCUCAUACAGGGGGAGUAACAGUUGGAAACGGCUGCUAAUACCGCAUAAGCGCACAGUACCGCAUGGUACCGUGUGAAAAACUACCGGUGGUAUGAGAUGGACCCGCGUCUGAUUAGCUAGUUGGUGGGGUAACGGCCUACCAAGGCGACGAUCAGUAGCCGACCUGAGAGGGUGACCGGCCACAUUGGGACUGAGACACAGCCCAAACUCCUACGGGAGGCAGCAUG
rnacentral:rRNA from 1 species